rnacentral:rRNA from 1 species
GACGAACGCUGGCGGCGUGCCUAAUACAUGCAAGUAGAACGCACAGUUUAUACCGUAGCUUGCUACACCAUAGACUGUGAGUUGCGAACGGGUGAGUAACGCGUAGGUAACCUGCCUGGUAGCGGGGGAUAACUAUUGGAAACGAUAGCUAAUACCGCAUAAUAUUAAUUAUUGCAUGAUAAUUAAUUGAAAGGUGCAAUUGCACCACUACCAGAUGGACCUGCGUUGUAUUAGCUAGUAGGUGAGGUAACGGCUCACCUAGGCGACGAUACAUAGCCGACCUGGGAGGGUGAUCGGCCACACUGGGACUGGGACACGGCCCAGACUCCUACGGGAGGCAGCAGUAGGGAAUCUUCGGCAAUGGACGAAAGUCUGACCGAGCAACGCCGCGGGAGUGAAGAAGGUUUUCGGAUCGUAAAGCUCUGUUGGAAGAGAAGAACGGGUGUGAGAGUGGAAAGUGCACACUGUGACGGUAUCUUACCAGAAAGGGACGGCUAACUACGUG